rnacentral:ncRNA from 1 species
CAGAGUAGGCAAGGUGCGUAAAGUUGCGCAGGAUGGGAAGUUGCCUGCGCCCGAAGGGGCCUCCCCGCGAUACCUUGCUGCGUCCGCUG